GACGAACGCUGGCGGCGUGCUUAACACAUGCAAGUCGAACGGAGAGGCCCUGCUUUUGUGGGGUGCUCGAGUGGCGAACGGGUGAGUAACACGUGAGUAACCUGCCCUUGACUUUGGGAUAACUUCAGGAAACUGGGGCUAAUACCGGAUAGGAGCUCCUGCUGCAUGGUGGGGGUUGGAAAGUUUCGGCGGUUGGGGAUGGACUCGCGGCUUAUCAGCUUGUUGGUGGGGUAGUGGCUUACCAAGGCUUUGACGGGUAGCCGGCCUGAGAGGGUGACCGGCCACAUUGGGACUGAGAUACGGCCCAGACUCCUACGGGAGGCAGCAGUGGGGAAUAUUGCACAAUGGGCGGAAGCCUGAUGCAGCAACGCCGCGUGCGGGAUGACGGCCUUCGGGUUGUAAACCGCUUUCGCCUGUGACGAAGCGUGAGUGACGGUAAUGGGUAAAGAAGCACCGGCCAACUACGUG
rnacentral:rRNA from 1 species